AGUGAACGCUGGCGGUAGGCCUAACACAUGCAAGUCGAGCGGCAGCGGGUUCUUCGCUUUGUCUUCCAGCGGCCGACGGGCGAGCAAUUCAUCGAAACCUCCGCAUCUACUUUUGCUUAGGUAGUAACAUAUAGGCACAUACCCCAAUCCACCAUCCGACCUACGGGUGGGAUCGGAAGAUCUUGCGCGCUUGGACGAUUCGAUGUCCGGUUAGCUAGUUGGCGGGGUAAAGGCCCACCAAGGCGACGAUCCGUAGCUGGUCUGAGAGGAUGAUCAGCCACACUGGAACUGAGACACGGUCCAGACUCCUACGGGAGGCAGCAGUGGGGAAUAUUGGACAAUGGGCGCAAGCCUGAUCCAGCCAUACCGCGUGGGUGAAGAAGGCCUUCGGGUUGUAAAGCCCUUUUGUUGGGAAAGAAAAGAAGUAGGCUAAUACCCCGGGGGGAUGACGGUACCGAAAGAAUAAGCACCGGCUAACUUCGUG
rnacentral:rRNA from 1 species